UAGUUUAAUGGUAAAACAUAGUGUUACGGCUACUAAGAAAUAAGUUCGAAUCUUAU
rnacentral:tRNA from 1 species